UCAAACCCACUAAUGCUUGCUCGUGCGAAUGGCUUCCACCGACCCACCAUGGCUCCAUAGACCCCAAAUGGCUGCUGCCCUCUUCAUCGAUUGGUGCUGGGAGAUUCAGAUCCAGGUAGUCUCUUAUUUCUGCCUCUGGUUUCUGAUUCGAUUUGGUUUCUGGCAAUUUGUUUCUGGAUUCUGACCCAUUUAUUAAAUGGGACCUUUUAUGGCCGCCCAAAGCUUGGCCUGAACUAAAAAUCUUGAAGCAAAUUGAGCAUUGAUGAUGCUUUCUGAUCUUUUUCUCAUAACCCAUGUGAAUUUCUGAUUCCUGGUGAUUUUCCACCUCUAAUGCUGUGGCUGUGGACUUACUUUCAAAUGUUGGGUCGUUUGAAAUCUCCGUUUCGAUGCUAUUUUCACUGUUUUCUGUCUUUGAAGCUAAGCAUCCUUUGGUUUUCUUGUGACUGGCUCUAUGCCCACCAAGUGCUUGAUAUGAGUGAAAGAUCUUGUUGCAAGAAUUACACUGGAAUUUGCUUCUCUUUCCUUUGCUUUUGUAUGAUUCUGAGUUUAGUUCAUUGGGUGUUGAUCUUCUGAAGGAAUUUGACCUCAAUUCCCCAUUUGAAAGCUCAUGGAACUUUCUCUGAUCUGAAUUGAACUUACUGGAAUUGAAUUGAGGUUGGUUAAUGUCAGUUUGGUUGUUGGAACUUGAUCCAAAUAUGUCAUCUUGCUGAAACUUCUCUUCGUUCUUGUUCAUCUUGACAGCAGAAGCACUGAUUUCUGAGUUUGACUCUUCAAAUUUGAGACACCCAGAAUCCAUCUCACUGAGCUUCAACUUUCUGCUGUGGAAGUCUUUCAAUUGCCCCAUGUAUACAGAAGGAAUAGCUUCAACAACUUUGGAGAAAUGAUUUUUUGG
rnacentral:lncRNA from 1 species